GUGGCGUGUGCAGUAGUGGGUUGUCUUGGUGGGCACCGCGAUGAGAGUUGGACCAAUCUCGUCUGGGGUGGGUAGCCUUCGUAUUUUCGUUGCCACCAGUGCCCGCGGUGCAAUGCGGGCCUGGCUGGCAGGCUCGGGGGAAAGGACCCAUCUGUUGUAUGAGAUUAUUUCAAACCACAGACAACACAGGAUGUCACCUGUUUCGAGAGACUCAGGGUAGGAGGCAUUACGAGCAGGAAGCCACUGUGUGAUGUUUCUGGGUUGAAACAGAAACUCAUGAGCAGAGGAAAACACAGAAGACGGGCCAAGGUGCAAGCGAGGGCUUUCAUUCUGCGUGAGGAAGUCAUACACGGAAGGUCCGAAAAAUAGAGACAAACAAAUUCAACAGGGGGCAGGCUUAAUCCUAGAGUCAAGAACAGGUAAAGUUAUAAACCACCAGGAAAACACUGGAAGGAAAUACCGAACGGCAAUGAGUAAAUGGUUUAACUCGCCGAAAACACUCAAAAUGUCAGAGCAGAUAAUAUGAUAAAUACUACCUUGGGGAAUCACAGAAAAUGUUUCUAUUUAUUUAAUUGUAUGACAAUGUAAGUGUUCACAACUGGGGCAUCAAUGAUCCCGGUAUCAUAUAUUUUAAAUACUAUGUUAAUCACUAAUGACGUCACCCAUUUAACUGUAACCUUAUUGAUCCCUGUGUCAUAAAUAUGAAAUACUUUUAGGUUAAGCAUUAAUGAGGUAGAAACACAGAUGAUGGUGGUUACGUCU
ensembl:lncRNA